UACGUAGGGUCCGAGCGUUGUCCGGAAUUAUUGGGCGUAAAGGGCUCGUAGGCGGUUGGUCACGUCGGGAGUGAAAACUCAGGGCUCAACCCUGAGCGUGCUUCCGAUACGGGCCGACUAGAGGUAUGCAGGGGAGAACGGAAUUCCUGGUGUAGCGGUGGAAUGCGCAGAUAUCAGGAGGAACACCGGUGGCGAAGGCGGUUCUCUGGGCAGUACCUGACGCUGAGGAGCGAAAGCAUGGGGAGCGAACAGG
rnacentral:rRNA from 1 species